CUCUGAGAACCUUUCGAAGCACUCUCGGGGCCUGAUUCUUGAACUCAGGCACAGGGGAAACUUUAUUCAUCCUCACUUUAUAGUAACCCAAGCCUAUUCGUUAAGCUGCUGGAACGAAAAAAUUCCCACAAUUAUAUAGCGAGCUGACAAACACUAUGAGUGUAUAAAAUAUGUAGUAAUUAAUGAAAGAAGAUUAAACACACCAUAAUCAUUUAUAUAUAAUGAUUUACUACAAUAUUUUAC
rnacentral:lncRNA from 1 species